AGCAGGGUGGUAGGCAGGCUUGAAGCUGCAAUGGGAGGGUGAGGUCGGGCAAGGUGAUUGGAGAUCUAGGGGUCAGCAGUGUGCGAGACUGAGGCUUACUGUGGGUACCGCCCCUCACUGAAGUCAGCUGGCUUCUAUAUCACUGGGCUCAAAACCAGUGCUUCUUUGUACCAAGAGAUGUCACCAUUCGGGUCACCAGUUGCAAGGCUGUCUCUGAUGGGGCUCCUGUGAAACUCAUCAUGAUGGAAUCCAGACAAUAUUUGUGUAAGUCUGAAUGGGAGGAAAAGCAUAUUACAUGUGGGAAAAUUACCAAAAUGUAAGUCAUUUGAAAGUAAUUUAAAAAACAAACACAAACAGCCUGGCAAUUUAAAACCAGUAAAAUGGAAAAAUCAGCUUAUGUGUAAGUGCCAUUGGGUCCACCAGGUGUCAGUGAGACUCUAUAGUUGCCACAUGCGAGUGGCCCCUGGAACUUUGUAUUAGUGGGGUUGGCGCCCUGCAGCUCUUUUCUCUGCUUUUCUUUCUUUCUUGAAGUUAAUUUUCUCAUGUGUUUCCUGCUCAUUUUUAGGUACAGUUGUUUAUCACCGCAGCAGAUAAAGCGCAUGCCUGUUCCUAAGCUGGCUGCUGCUGACUGUCUUGUUGUUACUUGGGUGACCAACAGGUAGAAGCACCUGUGUUUUGUGAAGGAGGAACUUUAUCCUUAGUGGUCUGUGGAAGUCAUUGCGGAAUGGUUCUGGGUAAAAAUCACCCGUUCAGGGGAGUUCGUGUUCCCAUUGGAUUCUCCACACAAAAACCUAAUGAGUGUCUUGUACUGGGGAGAUUUCGAGAAAAAACGGCCUUAAAGUGUUAAGGAGCCCGGAUGUGAACGUGCCCCCGGUUCCAGAUGGGAAACUGAUUGUCAGUGUGCCCAGCCUUCUUCAUUCACACAAGCCGCCCCUUGCUGGUGCGUGUCUGUGAGACCCGGCUGUGAGGACUCGGAAAAUAUUCCCAGAGGGAUUGAAUUUCGUAUU